GAUGAUUUCCAACAAGAUGAUCACCCAGCACCGAGUCAUUAUCGCUCUACACGUCAAACCCAUCAGGCCAGCCACUCCACCACACCAGCACGUCAUUACACUGACCCUGAUCAAUCUCAUCUAGACCUUGUACAAUAGGUAACCGGCAAACCUGUGUCUAACACCCCUGUCAUGGCAGUGUCUACAGGGGACAAGGGGGGACCCCUAGCUACAGUUGUACUACCAGUUAAGGGUCAUCCAACUACCUUCUUAGUUGACACAGGUGCAGCCCACAGUGUUCUCAGAGAACAAGACCUGCCUGACC